rnacentral:rRNA from 1 species
UACGUAGGGUGCAAGCGUUGUCCGGAAUUAUUGGGCGUAAAGAGCGUGUAGGCGGCCUGAAAGGUCAGCUGUGAAACUCGAGGCUCAACCUCGAGACGUCGGUUGAAACCAUCUGGCUAGAGUCCGGAAGAGGAGAGUGGAAUUCCCGGUGUAGCGGUGAAAUGCGCAGAUAUCGGGAAGAACACCCGUGGCGAAGGCGGCUCUCUGGGACGGUACGUGACG